CCCUUAGAUGUUCUGGGCCGCACGCGCGCUACACUGAUGCAUUCAACGAGUCUAAAACCUGGUCUGAUAGGGCUGGGUAAUCUUUUGAAUGUGCAUCGUGAUUGGGAUAGAUGCUUGCAAUUCUUCAUCUUCAACGAGGAAUGCCUAGUAAACGCAAGUCAUCAGCUUGCAUUGAUUACGUCCCUGCCCUUUGUACACACCGCCCGUCGCUCCUACCGAUUGAAUGUUCCGAUGAAUACCAUGGACUGAGAGUAUGAAUGGGUUCGCCUAUUUCUGCUUCUCGGGAAGUGGAGUAAAUCUUAACAUUUAGAGGAAGGAGAAGUCGUAACA
rnacentral:rRNA from 1 species